CCUACGGGUGGCAGCAGUGGGGAAUAUUGCACAAUGGGGGUAACCCUGAUGCAGCGACGCCGCGUGAGUGAAGAAGUAAUUCGUUAUGUAAAGCUCUAUUAGCAGGGAAGAAAAUGACGGUACGUGAGUAAGAAGCUCUGGCUAACUGCGUGCCAGCAGCCGCGGUAAUACGUCGGGGGCAAGCGUUAUCCGGAUUUACUGGGGGUAAAGGGAGCGUAGACGGCAGUGCAAGUCUGGAGUGAAAGGCGGGGGCUCAACCCCCGGACUGCUCUGGAAACUGUACGGCUGGAGUGCAGGAGGGGUAAGUGGAAUUCCUGGUGUAGCGGUGAAAUGCGUAGAUAUUAGGAGGAACACCAGUGGCGAAGGCAGCGUACUGGACUGUAACUGACGUUGAGGCUCGAAAGCGUGGGGAGCAAACAGGAUUAGAUACCCCUGUAGUC
rnacentral:rRNA from 1 species